GGAGGAAGAAUUAUUGUACCUGGAGUUUAUUACAGACGUGACGAAUGAGAUCUUAACUCAGGGCCUUUACUCGGACAGGGUGCUGAAGAGAGUAUUCGAACGCCACAUUGAUAUGAACAGGCAUCGAUUAGAUGAGAACAAAAUGCGGCACCUUCUAGACAAUCUUCAGGAUGACCUGCAAUCUCCCGUUUCGGUCCCCGUCACGUCUCUGAGCGCAGAAAAAUCUCACAAACCUUCACAGCUGAGGAACAAAGCAUCAGAUGACGUGGAUGAUCUUCUUCAUAGAGUGUUU